AAUGAACGCUGGCGGCAUGCCUUACACAUGCAAGUCGAACGGCAGCAUGACCUAGCUUGCUAGGUUGAUGGCGAGUGGCGAACGGGUGAGUAAUGCAUCGGAACGUGCCUUUUAGUGGGGGAUAACGUAGCGAAAGUUACGCUAAUACCGCAUAUUCUCUGAGGAGGAAAGCAGGGUACCUUCGGGCCUUGCGCUAGAAGAGCGGCCGAUGUCGGAUUAGCUAGUUGGUGAGGUAAAGGCUCACCAAGGCAACGAUCCGUAGCGGGUCUGAGAGGAUGAUCUGACACACUGGGACUGAGACACGGCCCAGACUCCUACGGGAGGCAGCAGUGGGGAAUUUUGGACAAUGGGCGCAAGCCUGAUCCAGCCAUGCCGCGUGAGUGAAGAAGGCCUUCGGGUUGUAAAGCUCUUUCGGCUGGGAAGAAAUCGCACCCUCUAAUACAGGGUGUGGAUGACGGUACCAGAAUAAGAAGCACCGGCUAACUACGUG
rnacentral:rRNA from 1 species